ensembl:lncRNA
UUUCUCUUCGAGAAUCCCCCAUUUAACCCGAAAAUCAACCGUUUUCUCUUUGAGAAUCCCCCAUUUAACUUGAAAAUCACGCGUUUUCUCUUCGGAAAUCCCCCAUUUAAGCGAAAAUCACACGUUUUCUCUUCGGAAAUCCCCCAUUUAACUUGAAAAUCACGUGUUUUCUCUACACAAAUCCCCCAUUUAUGCGAAAAACACGCGUUUUCUUUUCGCAAAUCACACAUUUAUGCGAAAAUCACGUUUUCUCUUUGAGAAUCCUCCAUUUAACGCGUAAAUGACACGUUUUCUCUAUGCAAGUCCCCCAUUUAAGCGAAAAUCACGCGUUUUCAAUUUGCAAAUCCCCCAUUUAAGCGAAAAUCACGCGUUUUCUCUUCGCAAAUCCCCCAUUACACCAGAAAAUCAUGCGUUUUCUCUUCGGAAAUCCCCCAUUUAAGCGAAAAUCACGCGUUUUCUCUCCGAGAAUCCAACAUUUAAGCGAAAAUCACGCGUUUUCUCAAAUCCCACAUUUAAGCGAAAGUCACACGUUUUCUCUUCGCAAAUCCCCCAUUUAACCAGAAAACCAAGCAUUUUCUCUUCAAGAAUCCCCCAUUUAACCCGAAAAUCACACGUUUUCUCAAAUCCCCCAUUUAAGCGAAAAUCACGCGUUUUCUCUUCGCAAAUCCCCCAAUUAACCCAAAAAAACAC